AUACGGAGGAUGCGAGCGUUAUCCGGAUUUAUUGGGUUUAAAGGGUGCGUAGGCGGAUUAUUAAGUCAGUGGUGAAAUCCCCGGGCUCAACCUGGGAAUUGCAUCUGUGACUGCAUAGCUAGAGUACGGUAGAGGGGGAUGGAAUUCCGCGUGUAGCAGUGAAAUGCGUAGAUAUGCGGAGGAACACCGAUGGCGAAGGCAAGCCCCUGGGCCUGUACUGACGCUCAUGCACGAAAGCGUGGGGAGCAAACAGGAUUAGAUACCCUGGUAGUCCACGCCCUAAACGAUGUCAACUGGUUGUUGGGUCUUCAUUGACUCAGUAACGAAGCUAACGCGUGAAGUUGACCGCCUGGGGAGUACGGCCGCAAGGUUGAAACUUAAAGGAAUUGACGGGG
rnacentral:rRNA from 1 species